rnacentral:rRNA from 1 species
AGUCGAGCGGUAGGCCCUUCGGGGUACACGAGCGGCGAACGGGUGAGUAACACGUGGGUGAUCUGCCCUGCACUUCGGGAUAAGCCUGGGAAACUGGGUCUAAUACCGGAUAUGACCUCCGAUCGCAUGGUUGGUGGUGGAAAGAUUUAUCGGUGCAGGAUGGGCCCGCGGCCUAUCAGCUUGUUGGUGGGGUAAUGGCCUACCAAGGCGACGACGGGUAGCCGACCUGAGAGGGUGACCGGCCACACUGGGACUGAGACACGGCCCAGACUCCUACGGGAGGCAGCAGUGGGGAAUAUUGCACAAUGGGCGAAAGCCUGAUGCAGCGACGCCGCGUGAGGGACGACGGCCUUCGGGUUGUAAACCUCUUUCAGCAGGGACGAAGCGCAAGUGACGGUACCUGCAGAAGAAGCACCGGCUAACUACGUGCCAGCAGCCGCGGUAAUACGUAGGGUGCAAGCGUUGUCCGGAAUUACUGGGCGUAAAGAGUUCGUAGGCGGUUUGUCACGUCGUUUGUGAAAACUCACAGCUCAACUGUGAGCCUGCAGGCGAUACGGGCAGACUUGAGUACUGCAGGGGAGACUGGAAUUCCUGGUGUAGCGGUGAAAUGCGCAGAUAUCAGGAGGAACACCGGUGGCGAAGGCGGGUCUCUGGGCAGUAACUGACGCUGAGGAACGAAAGCGUGGGUAGCGAACAGGAUUAGAUACCCUGGUAGUCCACGCCGUAAACGGUGGGCGCUAGGUGUGGGUUCCUUCCACGGAAUCCGUGCCGUAGCUAACGCAUUAAGCGCCCCGCC